GCGCGCCAUGAUAUAGGAACCGACGGCAAACAGCGAAAAGAGCCUCCGGAGGAGCACUCCUGCUCCACCACAGGCUCGGGGGCUACUGUUGGGGGGAAAUAUUAACGACCCCCUAAUACGCUGCUUAAAGAAACAAACAUGAAGGCCCAGGCCCACCAAAGCAUGAUCAAGUCUCCGCCUCGCCCGACCCAGGCGUCAGGAUCGGGAGCGCCCGACCUCCCUCCGCAAGGCCUCCGCCUCGCCCGACCGUAACCCCAGGCUCGGGAGCGCCCGACCCUGUACCACGAAAGUUCCGCCUCGCCCGACCCCGAGCGAAGGAGUCGGGCACGCUGAGGUCCAUGGGGUCAGAAUCCCCCUCGGAUACGAUCCGCAUAAACAAGACAAAUCCUGUGGGUCCCCCCGUCGGCCUCACCAUAAAUGCGCCGCAGAGUUGGCAGAGCGCAGGGCGACCGCGCCCCUCACGCAACCCGGCGCAAGUACCCGUGCACGACCGUCCUGUGCGAGCUACAGUGCCGGCGGCCGGUUUCUGUUCAUCGCAGGGUACUCAUGACCUGCAGCGACCGGAGCAAAGGAGGGAGCGGCCCCGUCCUCGGGUCCCGCACGACCUCGGGCCCCGCGCAAACGGCAGUACAGGUGUGAAGCUCCCCCUCUCUACAAGCCAUCACCGGAGCAGCAGUAUCCACCGUCCUCCCUAACGGACGGCGGGGUGACGACGAAACCACCUCAUCAUGACCUAACCUGGUACCUACGAACACCGAAGUAGCUACCUACGGGGAGCAGCGACACUUGGUGUCUGGCGACCACCCAUCCCGGCAUGCACGACGGCACGCGUUUAGGGUCGGCAGGACAUCGGGCGCCUAGGCUCUCCCUCCUCCUCCCUGCCUGACUUUUUACCAUCUUACUCUUUACUGUUUACCCGAUCCCAAUUGUAACUCCGGCCGGCCCCUUGCGAUAUAAAAGGAGGAACCUAGGGCCGGAAGAAGGGGAUCCGCAGAUCGAGAUCGAAGAGACCAGCUUCUCCCCCCGGUACACCAUAGGACACUCUUCCUAAGAACACGAAAACCGAAGAGACCUGGGACCAGUCCCUCUCUCGCCCAUCUGUAACCCCCUACUACAGAACCCCCG
rnacentral:lncRNA from 1 species